UUAGCUAUGGUUUUCAUCCUCUUUGGUUAAGAAAGAUUAACUUUAGAGAGAGACAUUGCUUUACAUCUCCAUCUCAAACCCCUAAGAGCAUUAAGCAUAUUUUAUGAGUAAUGUUCUUCAUCGAUUAUUUCUAAAUCCAUCUUUGAAAUUGCUUGCUUAAAUUCGUUUUAUAUGCUCAUUUGUUUUGGCUAGAAGUUUUACAUUUCCAGAAAAGACUUGAUUUUAGCUUUGAGCUACCUCUUGUGUUCUUCAUUGAAACCCUAGCCACAAAACCAUGUUCAUGCAUCAAACACCCAAUCAUUGCAUAUUAGGGUAGCUUGUCUUCAUGGUUUUGUUUUUAAUUUUGUGGUCAAGUUCUUCAAGGUUUAAAUCUUUAAACUAACCUGUUUUGGAUUCUCAUAAGUUUCUUCCUUCAAGUAUUUGUCUAGAAAAACUAACUGGUCAUUGAAUCCAGAUUUUUCAUAACCAUAUUGUUAUAUCAUUUGCAUUGGUUGUAUUGAUAUCGGUCCCACAAGGUUAAGAGCUCAAAAGGAGCUGCCACUUCGUGAAGACCGAAGGAGUUCAUCUCAUGUAAGACAAGGUUGCACAAAGGUAAAGUUGCUCCGUAGAUAGGGAUCUAGGAAUUGAGCUUGUGUGGUCUUUGUAUGAACCUUGUUUACACUAGUGGAUUGGACUCAGUGGAAAGUCCUCAGUAUUUUAACCCA
rnacentral:lncRNA from 1 species